rnacentral:sRNA from 1 species
GGUCCCAUGGGAUAAUUGUAGUCCCAUGGGAUAUUUGUUGUCCCAUGGGACAAAAAAAAAAUCCCAUGGGAUUAUUAUUAUCCCAUGGGAUU